CGGUUGAACACCCUUUUAUUUAUUUUAAACAAAAACUACCAGGUCAACAGGAUAUCACGAGACCUGUUACAUCUGAAAUGUAUCCAAGCGCCGCACGGGGUUAACUUCUUUUCGACACGCUCAGCACGGCGCACAGAAGCAUCCGAAGUCUCUGUGGACAGGUGACACAGGUAGUGUGCACUCCCGUCGGUGCAAGCCUCAUGCGACCACUUAUAGCAAAAUACACACUGGACCCACUCUUCCCCAGACAUCGAGGCGCUGAAGAGCUCGCAGCACACGAGGCAGCUGACGUCCUCGCUGGAUAGGCCUAAAUAAAUUGGAGAUGUAGAGGCAGCAAUGGUGGUGAACUCUGCUGCCUCCGGAACAGGACAAACUAGGCCUAAGGUGGGGCUGACUCCAUCAGCGGGCCAGGUGAUGGUGGGAGGAGCAGCUGAGGUGGCACCAGGGGUGACUCCAGCAAGGGGGGCGGCUUCAGGAGCGGGCGAGAAGAGCCUCUUCUUGGGAGCCCGAGAGGAGGGAGGCUGCUUGGCGGGACGACGCUGCUUCACAGUUCCCUGUUUUUCCGCCUCUAAAGCAGCCCUCACCGGGGUGUCCGUCCGGCCUUAGGGUAAGGCCGGACGAUGUCCGGGCUGAAUUCAACGGCCUCUCCCUCAGGCUGGACAGCUUCGUCAGGCCCGGCAGCUCGAUCAGUGGCACCUGGAGAAGCGCUGACCUCGUCACCCGAAGCCUGGGGAGGAGGACGGUCUGUCGAAUAGGCUCCGGCGAAGUCCUUUUCCUCAAAUGCAGAGGGGUUAAAAGGCCAGAUCCCUGGACUUGAGAACCCGGAGGUGGGACGUGUGAUUGUCCAGCAGGAGGAGCAGCUUCGACUCCUUGGACACACGGGUGUGACUGGUGAAGUGGGCCAGGUACAGGAGGAAGUCUGGCUCCUUCAUCCAGCCAGUUGGGUUGCCGCUGCCAGCACAGCCAACGGGUCCACCCCUCAGGAAGUGGUCUUUGAACCGCUUACGGGGGAAGAUGAAAAAUGGCGGAACAAGGUCGCCCUGAGCAUUGCCUGCCAGGGCAACUGUGACCAGGGUCCCCCUCUCCGCUGAGGUCACUGACCCGACCUGCUUCUGCCCCAUCUGGGCGACGACACGGUCUGGCACCUGGACAGUGGUGACCCCUGUAAAUAGUUGUGUGAGUAUAGU